GACGAAGGGGGCUAGCGUUGUUCGGAAUUACUGGGCGUAAAGAGCGCGUAGGCGGUUUGGUAAGUUGGAAGUGAAAGCCCGGGGGCUUAACCUCGGAACUGCUUUCAAAACUGCCAAGCUAGAGUGUAGUAGGGGAUGAUGGAAUUCCUAGUGUAGAGGUGAAAUUCUUAGAGAUUAGGAGGAACACCGGUGGCGAAGGCGGUCAUCUGGGCUACAACUGACGCUGAGGCGCGAAAGCGUGGGGAGCAAACAGG
rnacentral:rRNA from 1 species